AGUAAAGAUUAAAUGUGCUUUCUCAAAGGCAGCCACUUCAUGCUGCUAUGUCGAAAGGGCUAUUAUUAUUAUUAAUAUGAGAGAGAGAGAGGGAGAGAGAGAGGGAGAGAGAGAGACUAGGUAUGGUGAUGACGGUCUGGCUUUUCGGAGAGCAAAAGGGAGAGAAAAAAGGAGAGACCAUGAGCUGAACCAAGGACUGUGUAUGAGCUGAACCUACAGAGUCUGCACAGGAAAGCGCCGCUUCCAGGCAGAGGAGGUUCGAGAAAGCGACUCUAUCAGGCUGGUGCUCGCUCUGGGUGAUUUUGGCCUUGGCCUCAGCCAAGCAGCUGAUGCAGAGGAGGGCCAGCUUUGCAAGACUGACAGAACUCUGAAUGCUAGAGAAAGAAGAAGAAAAAGAAAAAGAAUUUUUUUUUUCCGAGCAGUCCUUGGGAGAUUUUCUCGUUCUCUCUC
rnacentral:lncRNA from 1 species